rnacentral:misc_RNA from 1 species
GAUGAAGAACGCAGCGAAAUGCGAUAAGUAACGUGAAUUGCAGAAUUCAGUGAAUCAUCGAAUCUUUGAACGCACAUUGCGCCCCCUGGUAUUCCGGGGGGCAUGCCUGUUCGAGCGUCAUUUCACCACUCAAGCCUCGCUUGGUAUUGGGCAUCGCGGUCCGCCGCGCGCCUCAAAUCGACCGGCUGGGUCUUCUGUCCCCUAAGCGUUGUGGAAACUAUUCGCUAAAGGGUGUUCGGGAGGCUACGCCGUAAAACAACCCCAUUUCUAAGGUUGACCUCGGAUCAGGUAGGGAUACCCGCUGAACUUAAGCAUAUCAAUAAGCGGAGGA